GUCCACGCCCUAAACGAUGCGAACUGGACGUUGGGAGCAAUCAGGCUCUCAGUGUCGAAGCUAACGCGUUAAGUUCGCCGCCUGGGGAGUACGGUCGCAAGACUGAAACUCAAAGGAAUUGACGGGGCCCGGCACAAGCGGUGGAGUAUGUGGUUUAAUUCGAUGCAACGCGAAGAACCUUACCUGGCCUUGACAUCCACGGAAUCCUUUAGAGAUAGAGGAGUGCCUUCGGGAACCGUGAGACAGGUGCUGCAUGGCUGUCGU
rnacentral:rRNA from 1 species